AUUGAACGCUGGCGGCAGGCCUAACACAUGCAAGUCGAACGGUAACAGGAAGCAGCUUGGCUGCUUCGCUGACGAGUGGCGGACGGGUGAGUAAUGUCUGGGAAGCUGCCUGAUGGAGGGGAUAACUACUGGAAACGGUAGCUAAUACCGCAUAAUGUCGCAAGACCAAAAGAGGGGGACCCUUCGGGCCUCUUGCCAUCGGAUGUGCCCAGAUGGGAUUAGCUUGUUGGUGGGUAACGGCUCACCAAGGCGACGAUCCCUAGCUGGUCUGAGAGGAUGACCAGCCACACUGGAACUGAGACACGGUCCAGACUCCUACGGGAGCAGCAGUGGGGGAAUAUUGCACAAU
rnacentral:rRNA from 1 species